GUGCUUGCAUUGGCAGUACAUAUACUAAAAUCAGAAUGAUACAGACAGUAGCAGGGCCCCUGCUCAAGGAUGAUAUGCAAAUUCAUGAAGUGUUCAUAUAUAUA